GCCUGUUUCCAAGGAAACAGGAGGGAAGCAUGAAACUCAGGAAUCACUUCCUGUCUCUGAGAGAUGCUGGGUCCAGAUGUGGGGCUGUGAGUUGGGGCAAUGCUGAGGACUUGCCAACUCAAAUUACCUCAAGAAGUCUCCACUAAAGGAUCCGAAGGCUCAGAAUAUGAUUUCAAUCAAGGAAACAGAGCCCUUCAACACCGAGGCAAGGACAGGUGGCCUUUGACAAACACAGAGACUUGCAGAAGGAACCAUAUUGAAGGUGUUUUGAUUGCUGCAACCUGGAACUGCUGACCCAAGGAACUGUGCUUGGAAAUCCGGAAAGGGGACAUGGUGCUUCCAGCCCACGCAUCACCAGAACCUUCUGGCACGCAGAGUAGCUGGGUCGGGAUUAAGGCAGUGGACUCCUUUAACAAGCCAGGUCUAAUUGUGUCUCUGCAGAUGUUUAAUGGAAGCCAGAAUCCCAGACAGGCAGCUUCAAGAACAAUGCUGGACAGGUUCUCAUGUGGGAACCAGAGACACAAAAGUGGUGGUAGUUAAUCAAGUCCCUGGUUCUUGGGAAGCGACAACACAAAGAGCUGCAGCAUCUGAUCAUUACCCUGGAGCUCAGACACAAGACGCAGUCCUGUCUGAGCCCUCAUAACACUGCUCACGUUAGCGACUCCCCUCCAGCACCAGGCUUCCUCCUGGAGAGAGGAAGCGUGCCUUCUGGCAUCCCUCAGGACUCCAGAGUCUACCCUAGAGUCGAGUCCCAGGGAAGAGAGUUGAUUGGCUCUCAGCGAAUCGCAUGCCCAACUCUGUACUAGGCACUGGAACCGGAGGGAGAUAAGACACAAUGAUUGGCUUUCCCCCGGGUCACGUGAUCACUCUAUCUCGGGGCGUUUCAGCAGAAAGCAUGGAGAAGACUGUUCUUCACAGGUCAUGGAAGCUUGAGUCCCUUGACCAUCUUUCCCACAUCAGGUCCCGCAAAAGUCCUUGAACUAGAUGCAUCCAGCAAGCACUCUAUAAUUGCUGAGAGACAAACUGCUGCUCCCUCCCAACCCAAUAGCACCUUCUCUUUGACAUCUCAGGCCCGAGUGGAUGGAAAGGUAGACUCGUGAUUUGGAAUGAGUUCCUUUUCUCAGUAGGGCCCCACCCCAGGCAGUUUCUCCUAGUUCUGUGAACUAGAAAAGGUGGAGAGAUAUAUUUGAUAAUCCAGCUCACGGAGGGAGCUGAUGACCGGCUCUUGGAGAAGUGAUUUUCUUUGAACAUGAUACUACAGACGGGAAGCUGUCUCGAGUGUCCCAUCCUGGCGUGCAGAACACAGUUUCUACCUCUGGACCUGCCAUGAAAGCAAGCCCACACCCACACCCACGCCCUCCCAGCCUCCCAUUGGGUGUUCCUUAAAUGAGCGAACGGAACACAAGAGCCUGGCCGCCGUCUGACCUUCAGGCCCCACUCAAUGAAAGCAUCACAGCCAAACGGAAUGCAAGGGAGACUCAGGCAUCAGAGAGAAGCCCUCACUUCUACUGCUCAGGUCCAGGGCACCUGCAGAAACCAAGGAAGAGUCAGCUCGUCUGGAGCCUGGAAGCCCCUUGCAACAUUUGACAACCCUUUUAGGAGCAGAGGCAGCCUUGUCUACAAAAUGCAGGUGUGAUACCAGUUACGGACUCUAGAGGGCGCUUCCACAAGUAUUAAAUGAGCGCAGCAAGGAUCUGGGGCCAGCUGUAUCUGAAUGACCAUUCAUUCAUCCACUAAAUGUUAAAAUGGGGACUUACAGAGAAGAGCCAUCCCACCAGGCUUGCUGGGAAGCACAGAGAGGAGGAGCUACGUGCUAAGAGUGCAAGUACCCAAAAGUGACCUCUUGUCUCUCUACCUUCCCCGUCUCCCCAGUUGGAAUUUACCUCUGCACCUUUGUAUCUGAUGAGUCUGUCCAUCCUUCUCCUCACCUAAGGAUCCUGAAAUCCUUUAAGGGCAGAUGUGUCCUUUUUCCUCCAGGAAUCCCUAUCGACGGCUGUCUGUGACAGCUCAAACCUACCCUUUGUGGGUCGCUUAGCCCAUCUGUGGUUGGGGUCUUUAGCCUUUCUACAUGGACAGCAGGCUCCUCAGACCAGCAUCACACAGCUGUUACAUUUGCACACGAGGCUCAGGCUGAGGGGCACCAGGGAGCUUUUGGCUUCUGCCUUGAAUCCACGGAGAUAGCAGUCACCUUGUUUUUGUGGACUUGACGCACAGGCUCUAGUUAGUGGUCUGAGAUUGUCCUGUGCUGAUGACUCUCUUACAAGAUGGCCCACCCCCACCUCCUGUAUUCAUAUCACCCAGGUCCCAGCUCUGCCUUCCAGCAUGGCAGCUGGCUAGUCAUCCGAAGCAGAGCUUCUCACAUGCACCUGUGUGGAAUCUAUAGAACUCUCAGUGAGCUCUUUACAACACUGGGGGUUCCAGUGGCUAACCCAGGGCAAGCCCUCUGCGGUGGUUUGAAUAGGAGGCUCCCCAAGGCUCAUAUAUUUGAACACUUGGUCACCAGGGAGUGGCGAUCCUUGACAGGGAUUAGGAGGUCCACCCUUGUUGGAGGAAGUGGGUCACUGUGGGGUGGGCUUUGGGAUUUUCGCUGUAGAACCCUCAGCUCCCACUCCAGCACCAUGCCUGCCUGUAUGCCACCAUGCUGAAAAUACACUAAGCUUCUGCAACUGUAAGCCAGCCCCAGGGAAAUUUUUUCCUUUGUAGGAGUUGUGUGGUUAUGGUGUCCCUCUACAAUAGAAGACUAACCCUCUGUCCCAGGAUUGUUCUGGAAGUCACCACCACUCCCAGUCUUUCUGACUCUGGGGGAGCGGAGGAGGUGGUUUCACGACUCACUACAUGGUUUGACUCCUGAGAUCUGCAGAAGUGAGUGGCUAGCCUGGGGUCUCACCUGGGAAAAGGACACAAUUUCUGAGACAGGAGACAAAACAGUCCCUGACCGGAGGGACCCUGACAAAGUCCUUCCUGGCCACCUCCUUAUGGACUCCAAGUCGAUAUCCUGGCCAGUCCAGAGCCACUAGUUCCCAAGUCUUUCAGCAAAACAAAGGUGCACUCCGCAGGAUCCCUUCUCCUGGAAUAUCCUGGCAUAGGAGAAUUUACAUGCAAAUACUUGGAAGAGACAUCCGGUCGUUUAAAUCGACCCAAAGGCACGCGCAAUCGUUUAGAGAGGAUCUAAGUCCGGAUGGCGACACAGGGGGAGACCCGAGAUGGCGUAAUUCAAGACCCGCGUGCAUUUCUCUUCCGAGACAAACUCUGUCUUGGGCUGGUGUGGCGACGGGCCAGAAACAUUUGUUUGAGGCUAGUUUCUUUGCUUUCACUCCAUUGGCUAGAGCGGAACCGCAUGGCCGCCCUUGCUCAAGGGAGGCUGGGAAAUGUAGUCCUUUGCUCCACACACCGCCCUGCUGAAAGCAAAUGCAGGAGGCAACAACUUUCCAAGAGCUCACUUUUCCCAAGCUCAGGGGAUUUUAAUGGCCUUUCCACGCCAGAUAGACAGAGGACAAGGUGGAUGGGUGUCAGGUAAGGUGGGUGAGGGUGGCAGGUAGACAGUGACCACAGUAGGGAUUCUGCUUCGCACCUCUACCACCAUCCCCACCUCAAGCCCCUCUCUGCCCGUUCCUGUCCAUGCCAAGUGUGGUCCUAAGUAUUUUGUUAUGGUGUGGCUGUGAGGUGUCCGCUGCAGAAUGGCACAUUAAACACUGGUAUUGGCCCCUGCCCGAUGGUCCUGUUUUGGGAUUCCGUGGAACGUUCCACAUGUGGCCCGCCUAGCUGGCAGAAGUGGGCCACUAACUGUGGACCUUGGAAAUUAUUAUCCCCUUCUGGUUUGGCCCGAGUUCUCUGCUCCCUCGAUGGAGGAAGUGUGAGGAGGCCCUGCCUGAACUCCUACCACCAUCGUUUCCCCGCCAUGGUAAACUGGCAAGAUGGAAGGCUCCCACUGUGAAGGAAGCCCGCUGGGUCACCAUAGAGAGCUCACUUCCCUGGGAGGGGGGAGAAAUCGUUGGUGAAGCUGGCACGUAAGUCACCCAGGAUAGGCUGAACCAGGGCGCACACACUAAGGUCAAGGCCUGCC